CGGCGUGUAGCGCAGCCUGGUAGCGCACUUGCAUCGAGUUCGAAUCCCGCCACGCCGACCA
rnacentral:tRNA from 1 species